GAAUGGCAUAAAAGUAGCUCUUCGCUUGACAACCCUACAGACAUCUAAAGACAACCUCUACGUUCAAGUUCAACCUCUUCUCAACGACGAAUCGUCAACAUGAAGACCGCCGUUCUUAUCCUUGUGCUGGGUCUGGUUGUGGCUGAUGCCACCCUGAUCCCUUGGGAACGUGCUAUGGAGAAGUCCGCUGGUGGCAGGGCGACCGACCCAUGCUGGUUGAACCACCAGUGCACGAACUGCGCCAGCACUGGGAGUGUCGGAAGCACUGUCAUUUGCUGUAACAACUGUCGCCCGUCAGGUUUCGAACUCACCUUCGACAACUUCGGCAUCCACUGCGGCUGCACGCUCUAAAGAUAUCACCACCCUGGUGACGUCAGAAGAACUUCCGACAUCGACGUCACGGCAUUUUACAAACAGUAUUAUUAACGUCAAAUAAACCACUACAAUGUUUA